AGAUACAGUGACAUCACUUCCUUCGUGGGAUAAAAACUGAGCCCAGACCACGUGAAAAGAAAAUCUUAGCCUGGCUACAACUCAGCAACAUCACAAUGUGUCUAGCAGCAUUCCUUGCACCCAGUGGGUACUCAAUCACUAACUGAGUGAAAUCAGUUAUUCACAGAACUACUGGAGCUCUCUUGAAGAAAGCCCAGGCAGGAAUUCUCCGAACAACAACUGCUACAUUCCACCACACUCACAUGUGAGACCGUGCUCUAUUGCAUAAUCAACAAAGGAAAAGGAACUUUAUUUUUAGCUACUGGACUUCACAGGGACGAUCAGAGUCCUAUUUAAACUUCUCUUUCAUCCCUAACCUUCAGAUGACACUCUUAGGAUUUGCUUUUGUAAUUUGUCUUUUUUAAAAAAAGGCUCAGUCAAAGAUGGCCUUGAGCAGAUUUAAAACAAUACAAAACAACAAGAGAAAUAAACCAGAUGGCAAAAAACUCAUAAAUCAAGCCAAGCCGCGCUGAACACGCUACAAAGAAAGGCAUCAUGAAACUGUAAAGGGAAGAGGCACUUCGUUCCUCAUGGAUAAGCCUCCGUUAUUGCUUCUUUGCGGAGGAAAGCUGGGAGGUCAUCCAGGGGAGGCUGCCGUGCUUCCUCCUCCACCUGUCACAGACAGACUGGAAAGAUCUGCGUGAUGGUUGCAAACCGGGAAGGGUCAGGAUUCAGAGAAGGCUAGUGUGACACUGCUUUCCCAGAUGACACCCAGUCAAAGGGAAAAAAAAAAGUGUUUGGGAGGAUCUCUAUUUUCCUUGCAUGGUGAUCAAGGUAGAGAAAGAAGAAAAAAUUGGCUCGACAUAUCUGCACCAUUUCUAACAGUUAAUGAAAACAACAGAAACUUCCUGGUUGGAAAAAAAAAAACAGUAACAGCGCCCAUCCCUACCCUUAUGUUUUCAACAGACCUCAAUAGAAGGACGCAUCCUUUCAGGGAAACAUCAUUAGUAGUACCUCUGGGUUGAAGAAGACAAGAAAGAAAAGCUGAGGUUCAAGACUUGUCCUGCUUGGAUGUGCCUCUGGUACUGAACUAAAUGGCUGGGCCUUCCCAUCCAGGAUCCUAGCGCACCCAAUGGGAGAGCAGCUCUGAGUGAACAGGAGGCUUUGGAGGAAUCACUGUUGACAGGUUUCAAAUUAAACAUGAACACACAUAAGCAAUGGGCUUGGGUCAGACGUGAUUAUGAUCACCAUUUUGUGGAGCUGAAAGAAAGACGUGGUUUAAGCAAAAUUGCACUUUCACAAAGAAGAGGAGGCAGCAAGUAAGCGAGCUACCCACAGCUGCUCUAUUGCGUGAAGACAACAGAAUUAUAUAACUAGAAUAAUAAGGGAAGAGAACACGACACAAAGAAGAGCAAGGAAGAGGUUCAGGAGAAGACCAAGCAAGGGAUGCACCUCACAGUGCAACAUGGAAAGAACAGAUUCUACGUGGUGGUGGCCUGGAGGUGGAGAGGGGGAUGGGCUGUGGAAGGAGCUUAUCUCAUGUGCCCUGCCAGUUCACUGGGCAGUAGGCCUGGAAAAAGUUGCUGUGGUGGAAGCCCAGAGUGGCGAUGAGAAAAGCAAGUGGCAGAAUGGUAUACUGGCCCAGGAAGAGGGAGCUAUCUCGAUAAAGCCUGAUAAAGCACUCACUUGCUUUCAGAUGAGCAUCUCACUGCCUCAUUCAUUGUUUUUCCCCAGCACCUGUAAUCUGUGAGUCCUCCCCCACACAUGGUAAUGCUGGAGAAAAGGAUGAUCCAAGCGCAAAAUCAUCAGUGAGCGAUCAUCAUUGUUCUUCUGCUCAAAUGUCACAUUCAGGCACCCCUGCACUGCCAUUCAGAAAUCUAUUAGCAGCAUAGCAGAGUCAGGAGCUCCCGUGACCCACUUUUACCAGACGGUGGAUGCUUCUAAUUCUGCAAUCAGUGAAACAGCAAAACCGAUUAGAACGUGUGUGGUGGUGUGCUGGAUCAGACCAGGCAAGCACAGCCGCUGGGGAAAGGUUAACAGAAUAUAACUUAAACAGCUUGUGUGCUUCCAAACUUGCCCCAGGUGAAGAGGAACAGCAGGCAAAUGAGAGCCCUUCCGAAACCCCCCACACAUAUUCUCUCUGCCACCCGUGAACAUCCUAUGCAGCCUGAGUUUAUCUUUGCCCUCAGAUUCAUCUGCCAUAGCCUUCUUGAUCCAGCUGUGCCCUGAGUGUGUAUAAAACAAACUCCAUAUCUGCAGUUGGACAUCCUGCAGUCUCCAAAUGCUGUAGGCCUCCCCUGCCCAGUCCCACACUGAGAUGGGUCCGUGUGUUUAUCCUUGCAGAACCAUGAACUCAGACUCCAAUCAUUGAAACACUGUGACUAAUUUUAUCCCUUUUCCCUGAGCCUCACCUUCCCUCUGCUCCCUUUCUUAAGUUAUGUGAAAAAAAAAAAUCCUCCUCCAAAGAAAGAUUUUAAAGGAACCAGACAAACUGUUUUGUGCAUUAUGAUCUUUCUCCUCAAAAUGUCCAUGUCUACAUUAUAGCUGCAUUUUGGAAAAAUGAAAGCUAAAACAAAUCAUUCCAGAGUCUUCUGUCCUAUGGCUGGGUAUGGUAGUACAUGCCUGUAAUCCCAGAA